CAGAGUGAAUGAACCCGCGCGCUGACAGCCCGGGCCGUGUGUAGUGCGCCUGCGACGCCGACGUCUGCUCCGUACGGGACCUGUUCCGCUGAGCCGACACGCAACCGGAGCGCGCCAGGGGUCGACUUCUCGCCGAGCCGAAGGUGGCUGGACGUUUUGACAUCGUCGCGGGGAGAAGCCAAGAUAAUAUUUCCAGCAUCGAAGGAUUACAUUGUUCUGGCAGGUUCAGGCACCGUGGCCAUGCGCCUCACAGGGGAUUCGCUGCUAGCAGAGUAAAAGGACCCCUCCAACGUAUGCUGACCAACUUCGAUGUAGCAUCGUGCGUCAGAGAUCAGAUGGGGGCGAGGCAGCGGCGGCGCUGAGGGAUGCGUGGCCAGCUGACUCGUUGCGUGCUGCUGCUGCCGCUGCUGCUGCUGCCGUGGCCGGCCGGCGCCGCCCCCGCACCCGCGCCCCU